rnacentral:lncRNA from 1 species
CGUGCAGUGCAGUACCGUGUUGUGGAUUGUGGGGAGUGGGCGUGGCAGGGCAUGUCAUAGGUUGCGUACGUGCUGGUUUUGUGAGCGUGCGUGCCAAUUUUAUUGUUUGUUGUGUGGUCCUUUUGUGUAGCUCGGCGAACGUGUUGCCUACCACGAGCUGUGCGGGUGACGUUUUGGAACCUGCCAGCUGCUGACACGGCGGCACGGAGCGCGGGACACGCAGUGUACGUAGUAGGCCCUGAAUGUGAGCUAGGUAGUGC